rnacentral:lncRNA from 1 species
CAACCAUCAUUUAUUUGCUCACAGUUUUGCAACUGGGGCUAAGCAGGCAGGGACUGCUUGGCAGCUGAGGUGGAUCAACAGGGCUGGAGGAUCUACCUCCAUGUGGAUCACUCGGAGUUGGUGACUUGGUGCUAUUGGCUGGGAGUUCAGCUGGUACCAUGGUCCUGGAGCCUCAAUUGUACUCCACUUGGACUUUCCAGGUGGCUUAGGGACUUCCCAUAGCAUGUCAGCUGGGUCUUUCUAAGAGAGGGGAAGGUUGCAGUGAACCAAGAUUGUGCUGCCACUCUCCAGCCUGGGUGACAGAGCAAAACUCCAUCUCAAAAAAAAAAUGUGACCACUCAACCCCUCUGUCCCGGCCUUGCUGUCCCUGCUGGUCCUUCCCCCCUCCCUCCUUCUUAUAUGUGCCCAGGAACCAGAAAUAGCCUAUCAACCCUGAAGGAGUCUAACAGGCCUUGCCACUUACCACCAGUCCCCAGCAGAGCUUCCCGGAAUCAUUGUCCUCUCCCUUCCCCUUGUUCGGUUUUCUCUUUCACUUUCCUAGGCUCUUUGGCUAGGACUGGCUGCAGAAGUUGAUUUGCAUAAUUAUUUAACCCUGGUAAGAACGAAAGCUGUAAACCAAAUUAGGUAUGCCAGCAGGUAGCAGGUAUAGAAGAAGAAUCACGGGGUACAUCUGACCCUCGUCCUUGCUUCUCGUGAUCCUAGGUAAGUUAUUUAACCUCUCUAAGCCUCUGUGUACUCAGCUGUGAAAUGGGGAUAGUCA